GACGAACGCUGGCGGCGUGCUUAACACAUGCGAGUCGAACGUGAUUUUUGUGGAAAUUCUUUCGGGAAUGGAAAUGAAAUGAAAGUGGCGAACGGGUGAGUAACACGUGAGCAACCUACCUUACACAGGGGGAUAGCCGUUGGAAACGACGAUUAAUACCGCAUGAGACCACAGAAUCGCAUGAUAUAGGGGUCAAAGAUUUAUCGGUGUAAGAAGGGCUCGCGUCUGAUUAGCUAGUUGGAAGGGUAAAGGCCUACCAAGGCGACGAUCAGUAGCCGGUCUGAGAGGAUGAACGGCCACAUUGGAACUGAGACACGGUCCAAACUCCUACGGGAGGCAGCAGUGGGGAAUAUUGCACAAUGGGGGGAACCCUGAUGCAGCGACGCCGCGUGAGCGAAGAAGGUUUUCGAAUCGUAUAGCUCUGUCCUAUGAGAAGAUAAUGACGGUAUCAUAGGAGGAAGCCCCGGCUAAAUACGUG
rnacentral:rRNA from 1 species